CGGGGCUUAAAGUCUUGUAAUUGGAAUGAUGGGAAUUUAAAUCUCUUCCAGAGUAUCAAUUGGAGGGCAAGUCUGGUGCCAGCAGCCGCGGUAAUUCCAGCUCCAAUAGCGUAUAUUAAAAUUGUUGCAGUUAAAAAGCUCGUAGUUGAAUUUCUGCUGCAUUGCUUGUGUCCCUCUGGGGUCUGUGCAUGUGGCUUUUUUCGGACGGAGUUUCUUUGUCUGAAUGUUUACUUUGAGAAAAUUAGAGUGCUCAAAGCAGGCUUUCGCCUUGAAUAGUUUAGCAUGGAAUAAUAAAGUAGGACUUUGGUUCUAUUUUGUUGGUUUUAGGUACCAAAGUAAUGGUUAAUAGGAACAGUUGGGGGCAUUCGUAUUUAACUGUCAGAGGUGAAAUUCUUAGAUUUGUUAAAGACGAACUACUGCGAAAGCAUUUGCCAAGGAUGUUUUCAUUAAUCAAGAAC
rnacentral:rRNA from 1 species